rnacentral:misc_RNA from 1 species
GAUACCCCAGUAUGCCUCACCGUAAAAUAUUAACUCACAUCACGAAACGCCAGGGUAUUACGAGCAAAGCUUAAAACCCAAAGGACUUGACGGUGUCCUAUCCAACUAGAGGAGCCUGUUUUAUAAUCGAUGAUCCCCGAUCUACCUAACCCUAUCUUGCCACUCAGUUUGUAUACCUCCGUCGCAAGCUUACCAUAUGAAUGCUAACAGUAAGCACAAUGGUCUCUCACCAAUACGUCAGGUCAAGGUGCAGCCCAUGAUAGGGUAAAUUAUGGGCUACAAUUUCUAAUAUAGAACAUACGGAAUGCUGCAUGAAACACAGUAUGAAGGCGGAUUUAGUAGUAAAAAGAAAGAAUUGUGUUCUUUUUAAUAAGGCUCUAGAACGUGUACACACCGCCCGUCACCCUCUUCAACAGUUCUAGAGACGUUUUUAACACCUCUGCACGCCUAGAAGAGGCAAGUCGUAACAUGGUAAGUGUACCGGAAGGUGCACUUGGAACAACAAAACAUAGCUUAAAUAAAGUCUCUUGCUUACACCAAGACAACAUUCGUUCAAACCGAAUUGUUUUGAGCCUAAAAUGUAGCCUAUCUUUUAGUCUUAUGCGUACCAUAACUAACACUUUUCUGAUAAAACAUUUUACUGGUUCAGUACAGGUGAUCAAAAAACUUAUUAGCGCUCCAUCAUAAGUACCGCAAGGGAAGAAUGAAAUAGCUAUGAAACAGGCCUAAAGCACAACACAGCAGAGCUUACCUCUUGUACCUUUUGCAUCAUGGUUUAGCCAGUCCUCAUCAAGCAAAGUGAAACCACAGCUUGCCCCCCCGAAACUAGACGAGCUACUUUAAAACAGCUUCAUAGAGCCAACCCGUCUCUGUUGCAAAAGAGUGGGACGAUUUUAAAGUAGAAGUGAAAAGCCUACCGAGUCUAGAGAUAGCUGGUUACUUAAAAAAAGAAUCUUAGUUCAACUUCAAGCCCCCCCAUAUUACAACAACAAAAAGUCUGGGCUUGAAAGCCAGUCAAAUAAGGCACAGCUUAUUUGACAAAGGAUACAGCCUAAAAAAAAGGGUAAAAACCAAAUAUAUAGACUAAGUGGGCCUAACAGCAGCCACCUUCCAAAUAGCGUUAAAGCUUCCUCUUGAUUACUUCUUAAUUUCGACAAAUACCUUAAACCCUUUAUCAUUAUUAAGUAAUUUUAUAAAAAUAUAAAAGUCUUCAUGCUAGAACUAGUAACAAGAAAUUGAAUUUCUCCUAAAUAUAAGCAUAAACCAAAAUGGACCAACCAUUGGUAAUUAACGUUUAUUAGCCUAUUAUAACAACACCUCAAGAAAAUACUAUAAUUGUACACGUUAACCUUACACAAGCAUAUUCUAGGAAAGAUUAAAAGAAUGGGAAGGAACUCGGCAAACUUUAACCCCGCCUGUUUACCAAAAACAUCGCCUCUUGAUUAAAUAUAAGAGGUCCAGCCUGCCCAGUGAAUUACUUAAACGGCCGCGGAACCAUAACCGUGCAAAGGUAGCAUAAUCAUUUGUCCUUUAAAUAGGGACUCGUAUCAACGGCAUCACGAGGGUUAUACUGUCUCCCCCCUCUAAUCAGUGAAACUGACCUCCCCGUGAAGAGGCGGGGAUUGUUAUACUAGACGAGAAGACCCCAUGGAGCUUUAAACCCAAUAAUAUUCUCAUCAAUAGCACUUCAUCAAAGUUAUAAAAGUUUUAUCUAUUGGUUUUAGGUUGGGGUGACCACGGAGUAAAACAAACCCUCCUUGACGAACAGGCCUUAGCCUAAUCCAAGAGUCACUACUCUAAGAAUCAAAAAUUUGACGUAAAAUGAUCCCCAAGCCGAUCAACGAACCAAGUUACCCUGGGGAUAACAGCGCAAUCCAUUUCGAGAGCCCCUAUCGACAAAUGGGUUUACGACCUCGAUGUUGGA